rnacentral:lncRNA from 1 species
AUGCCUUUCUCCGGAAGCCCCCGCAUCCUGCUUUCUGCUGAACCCAAGCACAUCGGGCCGCCCAUCCCAGCUGCAGCACACAGACAACCUGACCCGACAGGCUGGGCUGAAUCACCAGCCCCCUCAGCUAGAAAUAGCCCUCCAAGAAAUGUGCGGUGGCUACAUGUCCACCGGGAGGGGAGGAGGCCGGGCAGGGGGGCCAAGGAGUCCCAGGACCCCGAGAUAACACGGGCCCGGAUGUGCGGCAUCCCAAACGCGGUGGACUGGCCUGGGUCACAGGCUCCAAGGAGAAUCCUCAGGCGGUAGAGAAUGAGAUGGUUGGAUGGCAUCACUGACUCAAUGGACUUGAAUCUGAGCAANNNNNNNNNNNNNNNNNNNNNNNNNNNNNNNNNNNNNNNNNNNUCCAUGGGGUCGCAAAGAGUUGGACACGACUUGGCAACUGAACAACAACAGCAACAAAUAUUGAGAAUCCUUAUUCAAAAGCUGGCUACCCCAAUCCAUCCCAUGCUCCCUUCCCCGCUUGGUUUCCAUGUUUGUUCUCUAUGUCUGUGUCUCUCGUGCAAAUAAGAUCAUUUAUACCGUUUUCCUUUUACUGGCUUACUUCUCUCUGGAUGACAUUACUCUAGAGUCAUCCCUGUCUGACUGGGACUGACAUGUAUACACUAUCGAUACUGUGUAUAAAAUAGAUAACUAAUGAGAACCUACUGUACAGCCCAGGGAACUCUACUCAGUGCUCCGAGUGACCUAGAUGGGAAGGAAAUCCCAAAGGGAGGGAAUAUAUGUAUAUGUACAGCUGAUUCACUUUGCUGCAUAGCAGAAACUAACUCAGCAUUGGAAAGCAACUAGAUUCCGAUAAAAAUUAAUUUUAAAAAAUAAAUAAAUAAAUAAAAUCUUUUGUUUUUAUGCAAAAACAUAUAAAGUCUUAUCUCAAAAUAAACUCUCAUCUCAAAAACAAGCUGUGUUGCCCCAUUCCCUCCCCCAUACCCCCAGGCCCACCUCUCCCCGCUUCCCC